UACGUAGGGUGCGAGCGUUGUCCGGAAUUAUUGGGCGUAAAGAGCUUGUAGGCGGUUUUGUCGCGUCUGCUGUGAAAAUCCGGGGCUCAACCCCGGACUUGCAGUGGGUACGGGCAGACUGGAGUGUGGUAGGGGGAGACUGGAAUUCCUGGUGUAGCGGUGGAAUGCGCAGAUAUCAGGAGGAACACCGAUGGCGAAGGCAGGUCUCUGGGCAAUAACUGACGCUGAGGAGCGAAAGCGUGGGGAGCGAACAGG
rnacentral:rRNA from 1 species